rnacentral:rRNA from 1 species
UAAAGAGCUCGUAGGCGGUCUGUCGCGUCGGCUGUGAAAUCCCGAGGCUCAACCUCGGGUCUGCAGUCGAUACGGGCAAACUAGAGUGUUGCAGGGGAGACUGGAAUUCCUGGUGUGGCGGUGAAAUGCGCAGAUAUCAGGAGGAACACCGGUGGCGAAGGCGGGUCUCUGGGCAACAACUGACGCUGAGGAGCGAAAGCGUGGGGAGCGAACAGGAUUAGAUACCCUGGUAGUCCACGCCGUAAACGUUGGGCGCUAGGUGUGGGGGCCAUUCCACGGUCUCCGUGCCGCAGCUAACGCAUUAAGCGCCCCGCCUGGGGAGUACGGCCGCAAGGCUAAAACUCAAAGGAAUUGACGGGGGCCCGCACUAGCGGCGGAGCAUGUUGCUUAAUUCGAUGCAACGCGAAGAACCUUACCUAGGCUUGACAUGCACGGAAAUCUCGCAGAGAUGCGGGGUCCGUAAGGGCCGUGCACAGGUGGUGCAUGGUUGUCGUCAGCUCGUGUCGUGAGAUGUUGGGUUAAGUCCCGCAACGAGCGCAACCCUCGUUCCAUGUUGCCAGCACGUAAUGGUGGGGACUCAUGGGAGACUGCCGGGGUCAACUCGGAGGAAGGUGGGGAUGACGUCAAAUCAUCAUGCCCCUUAUGUCUAGGGCUGCAAACAUGCUACAAUGGCCGGUACAAAGGGCUGCGAUACCGCGAGGUGGAGCGAAUCCCAAAAAGCCGGUCUCAGUUCGGAUUGGGGUCUGCAACUCGACCCCAUGAAGUUGGAGUCGCUAGUAAUC